GACGAACGCUGGCGGCGUGCCUAAUACAUGCAAGUUGAGCGAUGAAGAUUGGUGCUUGCACCAAUUUGAAGAGCAGCGAACGGGUGAGUAACGCGUGGGGAAUCUGCCUUUGAGCGGGGGACAACAUUUGGAAACGAAUGCUAAUACCGCAUAACAACUUUAAACAUAAGUUUUAAGUUUGAAAGAUGCAAUUGCAUCACUCAAAGAUGAUCCCGCGUUGUAUUAGCUAGUUGGUGAGGUAAAGGCUCACCAAGGCGAUGUUACAUAGCCGACCUGAGAGGGGGAUAGGCCACAUUGGGACUGGGACACGGCCCAAACUCCUACGGGAGGCAGCAGUAGGGAAUCUUCGGCAAUGGACGAAAGUCUGACCGAGCAACGCCGCGUGAGUGAAGAAGGUUUUCGGAUCGUAAAACUCUGUUGGUAGAGAAGAACGUUGGUGAGAGUGGAAAGCUCAUCAAGUGACGGUAACUACCCAGAAAGGGACGGCUAACUACGUG
rnacentral:rRNA from 1 species